rnacentral:rRNA from 1 species
AUAGCGUAUAUUAAAGUUGUUGCAGUUAAAAAGCUCGUAGUUGAACUUCAGACCUGGCUGGGCGGUCAGCUUAUCGGCUAGUACUGUCCGGCUGGGCCUUACUUCUUGGUGAGCCGGUGUGCCCUUUAUUGGGUGCGUCGGUGAACCAGGACCUUUACCUUGAGAAAAUUAGAGUGUUCAAAGCAGGCCUAUGCCCGAAUACAUUAGCAUGGAAUAAUAAAAUAGGACGUGCGGUUCUAUUUUGUUGGUUUCUAGAGUCGCCGUAAUGAUUAAUAGGGAUAGUUGGGGGCAUUGGUAUUGAGUCGCUAGAGGUGAAAUUCUUGGAUUGACUCAAGACCAACUAUUG